CCUCCCCCUCCUCCUCCUCGCCCCUCUGCAGGUUUAAAUUAGCAUCCCAUCUCCUGCACUCCAGCGUGUGAUAACACAUCUGAUCUGCGGCAGCAUGGAGUCAGAAUACUAAAUGCGUGAGUCGCUCUGAGGACCAGCAGAGCUCUGCCAACCCAUUCGAGGUAAUCUCUCACCCCCCGUCCCCCCUCCUCCCCUCCGACUCCCAUCUCCUCAGCUGCUUCAAACGUUUUAACCAUUCAGGCUAUUAGUCAGAAAGAGAGUCAUAAAACAGUUGUUCCUGAUGGGGACUGUGUGGGAUAUAUUCCAUUAGUCAGACAGGACGGAGGGAGGAGAGGCCAGUGUUAAUAUUCCAUUUCAUUGUAAAUGCACAUCGACAAAACUUGUGUCUCUGUAUCAAAUGUAAAAAUGAAAAAGGAGAAAAUAAAGAAUUAGCCAUAAGAAUGUGUGGUUUUUGGCAAAUAAAACAAACAGUGUAAUACAUAAAAGUGUCCAGCAUGGCCUUUAUUGUACUGUUCACUUGUACAUGUUUCAUGCUGUUCCGUGGUCAUAAUAACCUUUAGGAGUGGAACUACGUGCACUUCAAAUACAUCAAAUUAAAUAAAUCAAAUUAUACCAAAAAGAAUACAAAACCAAGGGAUGUCAAAGCAGUUAAACUACACUAAUGUGCCCUGAGUUGAAUGAAGGCAAAUUAAACUGUAGUGAUGAGAUAUAAAUGUCUUGUUAGUCAACAGCAUUCUAAUCUUUAUUGAAGGAUUUUCUUUCCUUUCCUGAUGGAAAAGAAGCUGAUCUGAAGCCCACAGCGAUUUCUCUCGUCCUGUCGGCUUCUUAUUUUGUUUACUUCUUUGGAGGAACGCGAGUCUUUAAAGGUUUAAUAAUGGACAAAACGCGCUUCAGAUGGACGUUUGCGAGCAGCUAACGAGCCGCUCGGGGAAUAUUCGCCGGGAGAAAGAAAGUCGACGGUUUGACUCACAGACACGCCGCUCUCGGACGAGAUGUCCCUCUGCGAGCUGGAUGAGCGCGAGGACGCCGGGAGGAGGAGGGUGGCAGGGGUUAACGUUGAGGGAGGAAGAGUGUCGAUAUCACAGCAGCAAUUACUGCUUUAUAAAUGGGCCCGGCGUCGCCGUGAAUGAGCAGCUCCAUCAAUCUGUCCUGACAGCGCUCCUUAGCCCGUCGCUCCCACUCCUGCCCGCAAUCUGUAGAUUUCAACUUUGCCCAGAAAUUGCUAAUCCGAUUGAGGCGUAACUUGGUUAGCUGCUGAAUGUGCUGGAGGAGGAGGAGGUGGUGGAGGAGGAGGAGGAGGAGGCAGACUGCCGGCUCAGCUCAAACACACCCAGCACACACACACACACACACACACAGUGCAGCUCUGCAUGAGGAGUCCUGCAGGGAGGAGGCCGGAGAGCAGCACUCUUCCCUCCUCGGGAGGUCCAACGGUGGUCUGAAGGUGUCAAUGAAAUCACGUCCGAGAUCUUAACGCUUGGUAUUUGCAUUAAUGAUGAAGAUAUUAAUCCGUCUCAAACAAACGUUCAGAAUCCUUCCAGGUUUAGCUCAUAAAGUAAAAAGCUAACGGGCCGCGGUCACAUGACUUUGUGUUAGAAGGAGGAGCCUUUACGGCAGCCCAAACAGCAGAUCAUCCCUUUCACAUAUAAGUUGUUAGGUCAGAGAAGGAGAAGUUAAUGUGAUGACGUAGUGAAAUGACGUUUGCCGUUUGACGGCAGAGAUUGUAGAUCGUAUCUGAUCUCCAACCAGCAGCCUGGCUGACUACAGGCCCGUCGCCCUGACCUCUGUAGUCAUGAAGUCUUUUGAACGGCUAGUCCUGACCCACCUGAAGUCCCUCACCGACCCCCUCCUGGACCCCCUGCAGUUCGCCUACAGAGCCAACAGGUCUGUGGACGAUGCUGUCAACAUGGCCCUCCACUACAUCCUCCAGCAUCUGGACUCCCCAGGAACCUACGCCAGGAUCCUGUUUGUGGACUUCAGCUCUGCCUUCAACACCAUCAUCCCGUCUCUACUGCAGGACAAACUCUCCCAGCUGCACCGCCCGACUCCACCUGCAAGUGGAUCACAGACUUCCUGUCUGACAGGAAGCAGCGCGUGAAGCUGGGGAAACAUGUCUCAGCCUCUCGGACCAUCAGCACCGGUUCCCCCCAAGGCUGCGUUCUUUCCCCUCUGCUCUUCUCCCUGUACACCAACAGCUGCACCUCCAGCCACCAGUCCGUCAAGCUCCUGGAGUUUGCGGAUGACACCACCCUCAUUGGACUGAUCUCUGGUGGGGACGAGUCCGCCUACAGGUGGAGUCUGACCAUCUGGUGUCGUGGUGCAGUCAGAACAACCUGGAGCUCAACGCUCUAAAGACAGUGGAGAUGGUUGUGGAUUUCCGGCGGAACAGAGCCCCACCCUCCCCCAUCACCCUGUGUGACUCCCCCGUCACUAUUGUGGAUUCCUUCUGUUUCCUGGGCUCCAUCAUCACCCAGGACCUCAAGUGGGAGCUGAACAUCAGCUCCAUCACCAAGAAGGCUCAGCAGAGGUUGUUCUUCCUGAGGCAGCUGAAGAAACUCAACCUGCCAAAGACGAUGAUGGUCCACUUCUACACGGCCAUCAUGGAGUCCAUCCUCUGCUCCUCCAUCACCGUCUGGUACGCUGCAGCCACAGCCAAGGACAAGGGCAGGCUGCAGCGUGUCCUCCGCUCUGCAGAGAGGGUGAUCGGCUGCAAUCUGCCGUCCCUGCAGGACUUGUUCGCUUCCAGGUCUCUGAAGCAGCUAAAAAGAUGGUAGCCGACCCCUCUCACCCCGGACAAAACCUGUUUGUGCCCCUUCCAUCUGGCAGGAGGCUGAGGUCCAUCAGGACUAAGACCUCCCGCCACACCAACAGUUUCUUCCCGUCGGCAGUCGGGCUCAUCAACAGAGCCGGUCCCCCACUGCCUGACUACAACAUUCCACCGGUCACUCCCCUUCAUACUGCACAUGUCACUUUAACUGCAAUUCAUCACUUUGUCGUCACUCGUCACUUAUGUUUCCUGGUUCCUGAUUCCUGAUCCUGAUUCACCGGUAUCUUGUCCUUCUCCAGCUUCGUUGUGGAUGCUCCCGGUGGUCGAUGACAACGACCUGUUUGUCAUUCAGCCUGCAGACUCAUCGAUGCUUUCACCUAAGAAACGUAUUAUUUAGACCAUCGAGAUGCCUGGAUCUUUUUGACAGCUCUUCCACAGAGUUUCCACUUUAGUCUUGCUUGUGGUAUGAAGCAUGAUUUAGGCAUGGAGACCCACACAGUGAGAUAAGUGCUCAUUGUGCAGCGGGCCGAGCCUCUAUAGUUUAGUAUUGAUCCUCGGCUGCCUCAUCCCAAAACCCAAUGAAUGGAGCUUUGGGGAUUAACAGCCAAUAGGAUCGCUGGGUAAUUGAGUCUUUAAAAAACACACAUGGAGAGCCCAGAGGUGAAUUCCCUUUGAGACUGUCGAUCUGCUGCCAAGUUACACCACAUUUUCACAUUUGUGAACAUUUUCAUGACUGUUGGUGUUUAGGCAUAAAAUAAUCCUGAAUUAGUGUCUUAAAAGAUUCAGAAAGUGUGUUUCAGACGCUGCGAUACAAAGAAGAGUCAUUUGAAGUUGUUUUUCCGGGUGUUUAACUAGCAAACAUUGGCGGUUUCUCUGCCUCUGCCCGGCUGGAAAGACCCACCUCUUCCGUCUGCCUUUGAACUGAGAACGAUAACGCUUCGGACGUAUUUCCUGGGAUCCAUUGAUGAAGGCAAUCAAUAGCCAGCAGCUUUGGACAGACAUCAAUGUAACACUUGUUCGGAUAAUCUGGGCUCUGUUUCUCCUCUCCCAGAUGACCUAAAUGAGCCGGAGCGAACAGACAAACACAGCAGUUCAGGUGUGAACGAGUCUAAAACUCUCCACAAUAUGUCCCAGCAUGCUCCGCUCUGACCUCCUGGACGCUGCAGCACAGCGUCUGUUCCUCGGCAUCCAUGCGGUGAAUUAACAGCCUCUGAUCAGCCAGCAGCUGCUUCUCUCCGGCACGGAAACAUUAUGAAUACAUCCGUCCAUACAUAUGUAUGCCGACAGAUUACCACCUCUGCAACCCUCCAGAUGCCGCCGCCGUAAUGACAUGCAACAUGAUCGUCUGUGUAUAUUUGUCUUAGCGGCGGGCCGGGCCUCUUGUUCUGCAUCCCAUUACACCGCUGCCGUGCCGAAACAUGCAUCACCUCACUGACAGAGUGAGAGGAGCAGCCAGCAAACAAAUAGCAUCCAGCUGAGCCGCGGGAUGCUAACUGCUGGCUCCGACGCAAAUGUGCCCUUUCUGUGAGCUCGCCGAGGACGAGAGGACCAUUUGGGUUUCUCUUCUAUUUAGCCUAGCUUAGCACAAAGACUGGAAGCAGGGGGGUACUGCUAGCCUGGCUUCGUUGAUCUUCCUCAUUAGCAUAAAGUCCCCAAAGGCUGCAAACAUUGUGAAGUGAAGACAUUUAGUCUCAUAUUGAUUAAAAAAACACCAAUACAAUAACUUUAUUCUUCUUCUGCUCUCCUGAAUUGUUGUGCGUUAGUUUAUUUACUACAAAGUUUGUAAAAUAUCCGAUGGAUAAGUCAUAAUAAGAUUAAACGUCAUACACACACACGCACACAAACAGACACACACAGAGCCCCAGUUGGUUGUCUCGCCGUCUUCAAGAGAGGACGACCGGGGGACAACUGGCGGCCAGAUAGCCGCAGCGGGGAGUAGGAGGGAGACGCCGCCCCGGCGCUUCCGUCCCACCUUUCCCUCCCCCUGUGUUCCCCGCCGCCCGUCGCCACGGUGACGGCGCCGGCUCAGGGCCGCCAGCUGACGACCGGCAGGGAGGAUUAAUCGGCGUCGGGCGGCGAGGCAUCUGCUGCUGGAGGACGAUUAAAGGGUCUUUCCAGCUAACAUGUGGAGGCACCACGGCCGCCUGUCUGUCUGACUGUCUUGUCUGUCUGUCUGUCUGUCUGUCUGUCUGUCUGUCUGUCUGUCUGUCUGUCUGUCUGUCUGUCUGUCUGUCUGACUGUCUGUCUGACUGACUGUCUGACUUUCCAUUUGACUGUCUGACGUCAUGAAACGUUCAAAUACAACCCUCACCUUCUUGGUUAUUUUGCUUCCGGUGAACGGGAAGCGACCUCAUCCGGACUGAGGACGUCUCAGAGACUUGUCCCAUCGGCCCGUUCAAAUGUUUGUGUAGGUACACGUGUGGAGAGCAGACCCUUGAGGACACGACGCAGAAAACCUUCCGUAUCUGCAAAUAUACCACGUAUCGAUCUCUCUCCAUGUCCACGUGUCUUCCUGUCCCCUGUUACGACCUGCCCCCCCUUCUGUCUCAGCCUCUCGGUGUUUGGGUUACAGGUCUCAGUCGUCCUUAGAACACAACGUGUUUCCAUUUGUUGUGACUGGCCUGUUUCUGCUCUAAAGUGAGACUCCGCCUGCACGCCGACUAAGACGCCGACUCGUCCGUCCCAAUCCAACGUCCCCUCGCAGUGGGAGGAGCUUUAGCGCCUUGUCAGUGACGGCCUAUAUUUACCCAGAGACGACGUUAGCCAUUUCCUGCAGAGAGCGAACCAAAGACCCGCUGGGUAGAGGUCUUAAUGCGAGCUCGCCUACGCAGACCAAGACCCAACGCUUAUUCUUUUAUUACGACCUCGAGUUCACCGGGAAGAACCGCCACAAGAGACCCGAUCACAGAGACCCAGCAAGGGUACAGAACCAGAGACCCAGCAAGGUACAGGACCAGAGAGACCCAGCAAGGUACAGAACCAGAGACCCAGGUACAGAACCAGAGACCCAGCAAGGUACAGGACCACAAAGACGCAUCAAGGUACAGGACCAGAGGGACCCAGCAAGGUACAGAACCAGAGACCCAGGUACAGAACCAGAGACCCAGCAAGGUACAGGACCACAAAGACGCAUCAAGGUACAGGACCAGAGGGACCCAGCAAGGUACAGGACCAGAGGGACCCAGCAAGGUACAGGACCGGAGGGACCCAGCACGGUACAGGUACAAGUGUGAGUAAAGAUGAAGAGAAGAUAAAUCCAUCAAACUCUGGAUGUUUCUUCUCUGCCUCCAUCACAAUAACGUGUGUUCAUCGGUCUCAUAACUCCUCCAUAAUAAUCCUUAGAAUAGAGACGUAGCAGAACAUGCGUCCGUAUUAGAAGGUCCACUGGGGAGCUGUUUGACGUCUCCUAAUGAUAGACUGCAUCUCAUGUUUGAAUGAAUAUGAUUAAUAUACUGCUGAUGUCUAUGUAAUCUUCUAUGGCUUCAUGGAUGUGCACGACGAGAACACAGUCCUCCCGUGUUCAUUGUGUCAUCAGUGAUCAGGAGCUGAUGAGUUUUUGUUAAAUGUGUGUUCCAGAGAAGCAGAAUAGUGUUUCUGCACCUCCAUCGGAGAGAUAACCCGACCCCCCGGCCACAGUCCUCGUAUCGUCCACAGCGGAGCUCCUCUAUUGAAGUCUCUUACCAGGGGAGUAUAUGAGGAGAAACAUCAUGGGGGCGUAGUUAUGAAAAACCUUUUGUUUUAUGGAAAAUAUGAAACUUUUGUUAGAAACCAGUGGCGGCAAGAACAGGGUGCCCAAAUUACUAAAAAGUUAAAUAAUAAUGUCACAAUAGUAAAAAUAAUUGAGUGAGUGGUUUAGUCAGUAACGAGCAGGUAUUAUUAUCUACAUCACUAACGUCCUGUGAAAUCUGACAAAAGUGCAGCAAUGUGAGAACAAGCAAAUGAUGAUUUUCCAAUAUAGAUUUUUUUUUUCCUCCAUCAUACGGAAAAAGAAAAUUAAAAUUGGCAUUUGACCUUUUUUCUUGUUGUGUAAGAUGCAAUAUCGCACGUGUCAGACGGCAAGAAAGUAGAAAUAUUUCAAAUUCAAAUUGAAGCUCUGAAAACGUUUUAUUUUUGUCGACUUGAUUCAGCUGUCUUUAGGAAACAAUGUCAAUUCCUACUCGAAGGGGGAAGGUUAUAAGGAUGCUGAUAUUAAUCGGACACAACAGCUUCUCUCUGUUAUUUAGUCUGUUUUUUGUUGCACUUCCACAUUGAACACCUGUUAAAGUCUCCAUCAUCUUUCCCACUAAUCAACACGCUGCAAUGCACCAGCAGAGGUCAAGAUUAAACACACUUCAAGUUGAUAUUAGGAAGAAAACCACCAGGUUGUAUUUCAACCUCAAAGGGAACCGUUCUAUGGACUAAGAGGUGUUCAAUAACCUGCUGCCUCUACUUCAGCUCGUGGCUAUCAAUCUUUAGUGGUGCGUGUCUCCCCGCCUCACUGACCCGGGAGACGCGUUCUGUCCAUCAGGGACGAAUCAGAGUCUCUGACCGCCGCGGGCAUCGAACGGUGAUCUCGGCCGGUUGAUGGAGGAGCGGAGGCUGCUUGUGAAGCCCGGCGCAGUAAAUCUCUGCGGAUCGGAGCGCUGCGACGUCCCUCGUCCCUUCGUCCUCUCUCUCUGCAGCGGGCGGAGCGGGCAGCGGCGCCGGAGUCGCUGGACGGGAGCAUGGCGCCCCCCGGAGGCCGAUCCCUCCACCCAUCACCCCCACUGCAGCGGGGGGGGCACGUCAUGAAUAUUUCACCGGGUUUAACUCCCCUUAAAAUAUGCAUUCUAAUUGGGCCUAAGUGGCGCAGCUCCUCUCUAAGUAGCUUCCUGAUCCUUCCCGCUCAAACUGACACGUUUCAUAUGCUUGACAUGUUUUUUUAAUGUUGCUUACUAAUCUGUUUCUUCCUCCGGCUGAACUUAACUGAAGCUACUCACAUUCCAGGCAGCUCCUGACUGCCAGCAGCAUGGUGCCGUUUACCCGUGGGGGGGGGGGGGGGGGGGCACAGGUCAAAUACAACCUGAAUAAUAAUGGCAAUGCAAAUAUGACGCCUUGUUUACUGUUAGUGGGUCUUAUCUGUUUUCAUUCAAAAAGCCGAGCAGUAAAUCCUUUGGUAAUAAGUUUGACCUGUAAAUUUGAAUUUCUUCAUGUCUCUUAUCAGCUGACUCCAACAGACGGCCUCCGAAUCGACCCUUUCAGUAUUUUAACUAGCGUCUAAUCAAAUGUGCUUUCAAAUCCUCUCCAGUGGACUAAAUAAUACGGCUUGUUGUUUGUGGAACGUGUGACAGUGAGCGGAGCUUCAAGCUGCUGCUCACAUCCAGCCGUGUAACAGAAAAUGAUUGGAGACCAGAUGAGGAAUGAAGAUUCAUUCUGAACACAGCGCUUACACAACUUCCAUUUCUGCCUCUGAAAUUCCACAGUGAUUAUUUUUGUUUUGUUCAAUGAAACUUUCAUUUAUUUAUUUCGCAAUAAUAAUUCGGUGGAAAUUGAGAACCAGAGAACGAGGAGUCGCGGAGCUCAACAGGAAAUUAUGCAGCCUGAAGUCCGGGAGGCGGUUCUUGGCUGAUACAUAAAAAAAUCCUGCAGCUCACAGGAUGUGUGGAGCCCACACACAUAAUCAUAAAAUCCAUACGCACCGCAGUGAGAGCAGCCAAACGUACGCAGCAAUCUGUGCCCACGCUGUUCAGAAGAACAUCAGAGCAGACCCAAGCCUCCACCCGAACCUCCAACACUCGGACUCCUCAAUCAUGAUGGUGCAGCGUCCAAUCAGAGUCACCUCCUCUGGUCCUCCACGGUCCACAUCAUCUGGUCCUCCAGAGUCCACAUCCUGUGGUCUCUUACAUCAUAUCUAGUUCCAGAUCGACAAUGUUGGGAUUUUCACAAGCUUAGAGCGAGAAGCAGGAGUCGGAGGUCUGUGAGUAUCGGUCCUCCGAAGUUUGGUUUCAGUGUCCUGAGAACCGUUAUAAUAUAUGCUAAUAAUAUAUAAUAUAAUUACAUGUUAUGUAACUCUUGUAAGAACUUAUUGUUCAUCCGAGGGCGUUUAACUAAAAGAUUUAACCAAACUGUUGACACAAACCUGAGAAAACCUGUUGAAGCCACAGCAGCCAGCCUGUGGAAUUAGGAUUUAUCUUCUGCGAGCUGAGCAGUCUACCUGAGGAAGGACGAGUACUCAGGUGUGAGGCUACAGGUGUGUGUGGACAUUUGUUCACAUCGAGUCUCUUGCUAAAUGAGUCACGACACACACACACAUCGCAACGAUAACGCUCAACACGAACGCCACUAUACACACACACACACACACAAUCCCACACACUCCAAAGGUCGAUGCCCGGCUAUCAAACCCCGACACACACACUCACACACACACACACACACACACACAGAGGGGGUCCACUGGGGUUUGGAGUAGAAAGAGACUCACUGUUGGUUUCAUCCUCGCUCGUCGCUGUAGUGGCUUUGAUCCUCCUCUCCACUGCAUCCCUCUCUCUCUCUCUCUCUCUCCCUCCCCCUCCUGCUCCUCCCUACUCUCACCCUUUCCCUCUCUCCCCAUCUGCUUGCUUUCUCUCCCCCUCACCCUCUCUCUCUCCCUCACCUUUUCCUGCUCUCCCCCAUCUCCCCCUCUCACUCACUCCAUCCUCCUUUUCUUCUCCCCUCUCCUCCUCUCUUUCUCCCACCCUCUCUCCAUCCUUCUCUUCCCCUCCCACUCUCUUUCUCUCCCUUCUCUCUAUUACUCUCUCUCUACAACUCUCUCUCCCCCUCUGCCUCUGGCUCUCUCUCCCCUUACCCCACUCUCCCUCUUCCUCACUCACUCUGUUCUGAAACAUAAUGGACGGCGGUAAGGCAGGCGCAGCGCUUUGUUGCCAUGGUGAUGGCAAAGGAACUAAUAACCUGGUGAAGAGCAGAUAAGGCUGUGAACAGAGAGAGAGGAGAGCGGACGGGAGGAAGGAGAAACAAUGAGCAGUAGGUAGGGCAGGGGGAGGGGGGCACAAGUAUUAAAACUGAGUAUUAGUACUGUGAGUGUGAGUAUUAGUUGUAUUGCCGUGAGUGAAUGUGAGUGGUGUUGUUGUGCGUGAUGAUUGUAUUGUAAUUCUAAGUGAUUAUUACGAGCUGCAUAUUGAAUAUGUGAGCAUUAUCAUUUCUGCUAAUAUGCAUAUAAUGUGAGUACAUAAAGUAUUGUUUCUGCGAGAGUGUGUACUGUUGUGAGUAUGAGUAUUACCACUAUGAUUGUUAAUUAUUAUAAUGGUUAAAGUAUUAUUUUUAUAGGUAAAAUAAUAUGAUUUUGAAUUUCACUACUAUUAGUAGAAUUGGCCUUUUUGUCAUGAAAGUGUUUUAUAUCUAUCUCUAAAUGCUGAAUGUGUUUACAUUAAGAUCUUAUAUUUUGACUUCAUCUCACCACAAGGCAGAAGACAACAGUAACCAUUUACUGAGUGUUUGAUACAAACCAAAAGGGAAUCACACACAUUCUACCUCACGUCGUGGCUGGCUACCCACAAUGCAACUUGUCAACCGCUAGUCGGGUAUCUUUGUGGGGGAAUGGUCUCCAUGGUGCUGAAGCCUCACUGCGAUGUGUCCUGGUGGCCCAUGGUGCUCUCCAUGGUGCUGAAGCCUCAAUGUGAUGUGACCUGAUGGUCCAUGGUGCUCUCCAUGGUGCUGAAGUCUCAUUGCGAUGUGAUCUGAUGGUCCAUGGUGCUCUCCAUGGUUCUGAAGUCUCACUGUGGUGUGUCCUGGUGGCCCAUGGUGCUCUCCAUGGUUCUGAAGCCUCACUGCGGUGUGUUCUGGUGGUCCAUGGUGCUCUCCAUGGUUCUGAAGCCUCACUGUGGUGUGUCCUGGUGGUCCAUGGUGGUGCUGUGUUGCUGAAGCCUAAUGUACAAAAUCGUUAUGGCCUCUGCUUCCCCAGGGAUGUUAUCAAUAUAUAACCAAAGUAGCUAUUCUUUUGUGGUUUGCUAGUCAAAGGUGAACCUAACAAAUGCAACAGCGGUUCGGUCAGAUAUUUGGGUGAGAUAUGCCUCCCUCUCCUUUAUGCUCCUCUCUCUUCAGCCUUUAGUAGAGAUGAGCAGCUCGCCACAGAGCACAGCUAGCUUUGCUUAUAGUCCACACCAGUGCGUUCCGUUGUUGUUCUUUCAUUUUGUUACCUCUGUUUCACUCUGACAUGAACUCCCUGCUAUCCAGUCACUCCCUGCUGCCCUGCAGUAACCCCUUCCCAGCAGCUGACCUUCCUCGCCCACCUGCCCACUUGUUUAGCUGCUUUCCACCUCCCUCAUCAGCCCUGCAGUGUAAACACCACAUUGUGUCGUUUGCAUUUGCUCAGAUUUGUAACCUUUUCUGCCUCUCCAUCUUCCUUAUUCAUGAAUUAAAGAUUCCCUCCCCGGAUUGGUUUGUCUUUCCUGACUUUGAUUGACAAGAGUCUCUGGGGGCCUCACCUCCUGUCAUCUAUACAAUGAGUAAAUAGAAUCCCCCCAAAACAUCAACAAACUAAAGCUUUAAAUACUACAGUACAAAAGUAAAUGUAUUUAUCAUGAAUAGACAGUGAAAAAAAUCAGAAAUUUUGUUUCAAAAUGUGUAAAUUUGGGUUUGAUGGUGGAGAAAAAGUAAGCUCAGCCUAAAAAAAUCAAAGCGAGAAGAAUCCUCUGAAAAACAACCCUGAGUAUCAACAUAGAUCUUUAUAGAUAUUGGACUCACAGUCUUUCAGAAAAAGUCCAGAAUCCUGCAUCAGGAUGAAAGCCAACAUCAGGGUGCCAGCAGAGGAGACAACCCCCCCCCCCCCAUCUCUUUCUAAUGGGACCACAAACCCUUUCUCCAAAGAAACACAGGCUAGUGAUGACCAGGGAACUCCAUUCCUGAGGUUUAAACAUGACGAAUGAAAUGUUCCUUUAACAGUUGAGGAAAUCCAUUUAUAUUUAAGGCUGAAAGAGAACCCUGUAAUGAGGUUUUUGAGGGUUUCUUUAGUCCUUCAACCAUAUAAGAAGCUCUUUUUCCUUAUCGCAUGACAAGUUGACAUUAUUACAGAUACAUGGAUUUUAAUGGAUGGCAAAGUUUCCUCUUCAUUUUUAAGGGUCUUUAAGUGUAGAAGCGUAUCUUUUUUUCCAACACUGGAAAAAGACAAGAGUAGAAAUUAUUUAACUUAUUCGUACAAUAAGACAAGUCAAAUAUUGCAAAAAAGAAUUCCAUAGUUUUUAUGAGAGUUAACCUGGAGAUUUCUUUCAUCUUAAGCAUCAUUAUCUGUAUCUCUAUAACCUGAGGGUGAACCUGCUCACACACACACACACACACACACUGAGAGGGUCAAGAAGGUGUGUGUUUUGAGGAGGGGGGGGGGGCUGCUGGGCGAGGAAUGUACUUGGAGAUGUUUUCCUACUCUUCAUUUGAUGUUGCUGUUUUCCUGGUCGCUUUGAUCUCCUGCUCCAUCGCUGUCGAGCCGCUGCUGAAGUUUGAGAUUCAGUGUGAGUGUGAGUUCACACACACACACACACACACACACACACACACAAACACAUCCAUUCAUCGCCUGUGUCAUCGGUUUACUCGACAGUCAAAAACAAAACUGCAACAUCUUGGACGUGAAGCAGGAGUGAAGGCAGGAGGAGGACUAUCCACUAGCAGUGGAAGAAGUACCCAGAUACACUGAAGUAAAUCUCCAGAAGCAGAAGCAUCAACAUACACUUAUAU
ensembl:lncRNA